CCUACGGGGGGCAGCAGUGGGGAAUAUUGGACAAUGGGGGGAACCCUGAUCCAGCCAUGCCGCGUGUGUGAAGAAGGCCCUCGGGUUGUAAAGCACUUUCAGUGAGGAAGAACGCCUGGUGGUUAAUACCCAUCAGGAAAGACAUCACUCACAGAAGAAGCACCGGCUAACUCCGUGCCAGCAGCCGCGGUAAUACGGAGGGUGCGAGCGUUAAUCGGAAUUACUGGGCGUAAAGCGCGCGUAGGUGGCUUGAUAAGCCGGUUGUGAAAGCCCCGGGCUCAACCUGGGAACGGCAUCCGGAACUGUCAAGCUAGAGUGCAGGAGAGGAAGGUAGAAUUCCCGGUGUAGCGGUGAAAUGCGUAGAGAUCGGGAGGAAUACCAGUGGCGAAGGCGGCCUUCUGGACUGACACUGACACUGAGGUGCGAAAGCGUGGGUAGCUAACAGGAUUAGAUACCCUAGUAGUC
rnacentral:rRNA from 1 species